ensembl:lncRNA
AACGUCAUCCACAAGAUUUUUUUCGCAACGGUGUCGGGGGUCACAAUCACUGUCAUUUACUCACGUAUGGUGGUCAAUGGAGCAAAAACUCCCUUGGGCCCUUUGCAAGCAGAAUGAGUGCCACUUCCGCAUGCCAGCCGGAGAGAGUGAAGCCUUGAUGAGGUUUUUAAGAUAUACACUGAUCUGGCUACAUUCAGAGAAGAAGAGUCCAGCUCAGCCAGAGCAGGAGAGUAUUGUGGCAAGUUGGAACAGCUCCAGACUUUGAAACAUAACCUUGACCUUGUGAAAGACACAGAGGACAAUGAGACUAUCCUCCAGAACACUUAUGACCCUGACCAGGGCAGCCCUUGUUUCACCAAGAACAAGCUCAGGGAGAGGGAGGUAGCAGAGAAGGGAGCUGCCUCCAGCCUCAGUGCAGCAGGAGGACACUUCUAACAUUUAGAUCGACCAGACUGACAAUACUGCAGGAAAUGCCAAAACAGCCAAAUCCAAGGCCUCCUUGGAGUCGGAAGGUCCUGGGAAUAUACAUAGGAGAAAGAAUAACAAAGGGAAGAGGAGAGGAGGAGGUGUCUGGGGCCCAGAGUGGGGCUGCGUUGGAACUCAAGGAUGAGUUACUCCAUGAGUACCGGUAGCAGAUGGCACAGGAAGUGGAGAGGGCUACCGUGAAGAAGACUGUACACAAGAAGUCAACAACGGACAAGACCAACGCUGCCCCUCAGGAAGCAGUAACAUUAAACAAUGAAGGUGCAAAGAAGAAGAACAAGCUGAGGUCGUCAUUGGAUUCUGAGAGGGAGACGAGUAUGGUAGAAGAUCUGCAGAAUCGCCAGUCCGAAGACAUCACUGAGAGGAUGAGGUCCAAGGAGAAGAGUCAAGAGAGCCACGACGAGGAGGAUGCAGUAGAAUCUUUCAAAUCCAAAGGCAAAAAAAAAAAAGAGAAUAAAACAAGGUUGUGGGUACUAACUGAGUGUGGCGUAUCGACAGCAAACUGCAUCCACAGCUGUUCUGUCCUCCUCCCCGGAGCAAGAGACAAGACCAUGGAGGUGGUAGACUGCUGGAGGAGAUACAGAUAACAGAUACACAUCCACCCUUUACAUCACUGCAAAAGGCCUUAAACUACCUGAUCAUGUACAUAUCUGCUUUAACAAAACUACCAUUACUAUGUAGUAGUAGUAGUAGUAGUAGUAGAAGAAGAAAUCCAAUCUUUAUCAAUCGGCAGUUCCUUUUCUGUAUGCCAAGGAGUGAGCUGUGGUUUGGUCCGAGUUGCAGAGUGAGUUCACCAGGAGAAACGACACACAACCUGUGCUCGUCCGCUGGAGGGGAAUCUCUGUUGUAAGCAUCAUGUUCUAUCUCUGUUUCCAUGUUUUAGUAUCUAACAGUAUCCAACUGCUUCCCAACUCAAGUGUUGUCCAAUUGUUCUUCUCAAGUCGUGAUGGUACGUUGAGAAACACAACUUUGAGACAACAUUGACACCAUUUUCUGUGGUGGUUGUGUGUUUGCCAGAAAAUGCCAUUAAAUUGUCUUCAGUUGUGUUAUUUGAUGAAGUUGUAUAUGUGUUGUAGGUGUGCCGGAUCCCCAAUAAGCCCAUGCUGUCGUUCCGUGGUGGUCAGAUGGGUUGUUUUACCGUGUGCUUCUCCCACAACGGCAGGAGGCUGGCUGCUGCAUGUGCUGACAGACUUUAACCACUCAUCAGAUCUCUCUCUAACCCUCACCCUACUCUACUGCCUUCUGUAUUUAGAUAGACGUGCCAAUCUACUUUACUUCUUGUUAUUCUUGUGAUCUAAAGCCGAAUUGACCACCUGCAAAAACCUGCCCUCCUUACUUACUGCUGCGAUAUCCG